rnacentral:lncRNA from 1 species
AGUACUUAUAAGCUUAAUUCAGUUUGCACUGCUGAUACUGCAGUGAAUAGUCUCAGUGUGAGUACUUACAAAAACCAAGGUGUAGAGUUCCUGUUUUCCAGAAGGAUUUUUAGGAUCUUGUAAGUAUAAUUAAUAACACAGAACUCAAGUGUCCUGUUAUUUGUGUUCAGCCAGUAGCAGGAUAGGUGUUAGAAUGAAUAGGAAGUUUGAAAAGGAAGUGUGAAAAUAGACUGAAGACAGUGUAAUGUUGAUGGUAAUCAUUAUGCUUCUUUACAGAGAAGAUGAAGAACUUUCUGCUAGCAGCUAUCUUUUUACUUGUCAGAGGUCCCUGCCGCUGCACAGACUGGGACUCUCCGUUCUGCCGGCAGCUGCCAGAUUGGGACAAUGAAUUGGUGUGUUACAAAGAAUUAAGUGAGGAUCUAACUUGUACCUGGCUGCCAGUACCUAGUGCUGCAAAUACAGUUAAUUAUACUGUAUACUUAAAAUGGAACCAAAUACGUAAACCUUUCCAGCGAAACACAUCGUCACCUUCCAUCACAAUAGAACGAAAGAAUCUCUACAUUGAGAGAUUUGCAACCAUUUGGAUAGCAGUGAAUUAUGCCCAUCACACCUGCGCAAAAGGAAAGAACAUCUCAGUUUUACCAAGCAAAGCAGGAAAGUGCUUGUCACCAUCUAACAUAAAUGCUUAUCAGAUGAAAAACCAAUUGAUAAUAAAGUGGGACCUGCCCACAGCUCAUACACCGUAUGAGCUGAGAUACAGAGAGGCACUCACAGAAUCUACUCCAUGGACACUGGUGGCUGUAGGAAGCGAUGUUGUCAAUGUCACCAUUUCAAAAUUUAAAUGCUAUGUCUUCAUACAUUGUCCGCUCAGAUGCAUAACUAGGAUGGUCUCAACUGUGUUUGCAUCUGGAGCAAAGAGGAUUUUGGUCCCUCACAGUAAGUGA